UUUCUUCUAGCAUGAAUAAAUUGAGAACUGUAUGAAUAUUACAAAUGGAAGAGCUGGCUGCAGCAUGAAAGGAGUAGUGUAAUGCUCAGAAAUACUGAUCCCUCAUGCCAGAUAAAGCCAUAAUGAGGAUAAUAGCAAAUGAACCAAAAGCUGCUUCAACAUGUCUCAUCUAUUACCCAAAGAAUUACAAAGAGGAGCAAAUGCAUCAAACUGAGUUUUGCAUAUUAAGCUUUUGAACAGUCUCUUGUACAGUUUGUAGCUUAAUGUAAAAACCUGAUUUAAAUAGCAUACUUGUGUAGACUGAAGAGGUGGCAAAACACAACUGUUACAUUAUUGCUUGAAAUGAAACAUAAACUUCUCAACUACAGUGAUGUAGGCUUUAAUCCUGCACAUAGAUAUUAUGUGCAUGCUUUAUUUUAUUAAGAUCUACCAAUAUGACUUUCUGUUGUACUUUUUUUUGGUGAAUA
ensembl:lncRNA